rnacentral:sRNA from 1 species
UGCCUAAACCCAGCGAAAAACGGGCAUGGCAGAAAAACCAGUGAAAUGCAGAGGCGGUCAUCCGUCUUGUCUAAGCCAUUUCACUGGUCCCCUGCCGAAAGGCUGGGUGGACAAGCGGGUGGCC